rnacentral:rRNA from 1 species
AGUAAUCGCGGAUCAGCACGCCGCGGUGAAUACGUUCCCGGGCCUUGUACACACCGCCCGUCACGCCAUGGGAGUCGGCAGUACCCGAAGUCGCUCACCCAACCCCGCCUUGGCGGGGAGGGAGGCGCCGAAGGUAAGGCCGAUGACUGGGGCGAAGUCGUAACAAGGUAGCCGUACCGGAAGGUGCGGCUGGAUCACCUCCUUUCUAAGG